rnacentral:tRNA from 1 species
GCCCAAGUGGCGGAAUUGGUAGACGCGCUAGUUUCAGGGACUAGUGACCGUAUGGUCGUGUAGGUUCAAGUCCUAUCUUGGGUA